GGAGUGAAGUACUAAACUUGAAAUAAUGACAGUCCUCAAGGCCACAUAUCUGUCUCCUAGCCAGCACCGGGAGAGCCAGCAGAGGCCUCUAAUCCACCUCCUCGAUGGUGGGUCCUGAGCCAGAGGCUCCCUUGGGCGCCUGGGCCCCGAAGCCCCCAGCCCCAGGAGCACCCGCACCCUGGUACAGCCCACUGAUGAUGGGGCUGCACACCCGCUCCAGCUCCUCCCGCUUGUGCACGAACUCCUCCUUGUCGGCCAGCGUGUUGGAGUCCAGCCAGGAGAUGACCUCCUGGCACUUGUCCAGCACCUUCUUCUUGUCAGCCUCGCUGAGCUUGCCCUUGAGACCCUCGUCCUCCACGGCGCUCUUCAUGUUGAAGGCUGCGCUCCGCGGCGUGGAUGCUCCGGGGAAAGUUGCGCUCCGCGGCAGGGAUGCUCCUGGGAAGGUUGCGCUCCGCGGCAGGGAUGCUCUGGGGAAGGCUGGUCCUGGCCGAGGAUCGGGAACGCGCCGCUCGCUCUGCUUCUCUUGUCUUCGCUUGUCUCUGGAUGGAACCAGAUUUGGUUCUG
rnacentral:lncRNA from 1 species